CGAACGGGUGAGUAAUACGUGACCAACCUGCCCCAUGCUCCAGAAUAGCUCUUGGAAACGGGUGGUAAUGCUGGAUGCUCCAACUUGACGCAUGUCUUGUUGGGAAAGUGUUUAGUGGCAUGGGAUGGGGUCGCGUCCUAUCAGCUUGUAGGCGGGGUAAUGGCCCACCUAGGCUUCGACGGGUAGCCGGCCUGAGAGGGCGGACGGCCACAUUGGGACUGAGAUACGGGCCCAGACUCCUACGGGAGGCAGCAGUC
rnacentral:rRNA from 1 species